AGGGUUUGAUCAUGGCUCAGAUUGAACGCUGGCGGCAUGCCUUACACAUGCAAGUCGAACGGCAGCACGGGAGCAAUCCUGGUGGCGAGUGGCGAACGGGUGAGUAAUAUAUCGGAACGUGCCCAGUCGUGGGGGAUAACGUAGAGAAAUUUACGCUAAUACCGCAUACGAUCUACGGAUGAAAGCGGGGGACUCGCAAGAGCCUCGCGCGACUGGAGCGGCUGAUAUCAGAUUAGGUUGUUGGUGAGGUAAAAGCUCACCAAGCCGACGAUCUGUAGCUGGUUUGAGAGAACGACCAGCCACACUGGGACUGAGACACGGCCCAGACUCCUACGGGAGGCAGCAGUGGGGAAUUUUGGACAAUGGGCGCAAGCCUGAUCCAGCAAUGCCGCGUGCAGGAAGAAGGCCUUCGGGUUGUAAACUGCUUUUGUACGGAACGAAAAGGUCCUUUCUAAUACAAGGGGCUAAUGACGGUACCGUAAGAAUAAGCACCGGCUAACUACGUGCCAGCAGCCGCGGUAAUACGUAGGGUGCGAGCGUUAAUCGGAAUUACUGGGCGUAAAGCGUGCGCA
rnacentral:rRNA from 1 species